rnacentral:rRNA from 1 species
CCUACGGGAGGCAGCAGUGGGGAAUAUUGCACAAUGGGGGAAACCCUGAUGCAGCGACGCCGCGUGAGCGAUGAAGUAUUUCGGUAUGUAAAGCUCUAUCAGCAGGGAAGAAAAUGACGGUACCUGACUAAGAAGCCCCGGCUAACUACGUGCCAGCAGCCGCGGUAAUACGUAGGGGGCAAGCGUUAUCCGGAUUUACUGGGUGUAAAGGGAGCGUAGACGGCGAUGCAAGCCAGAUGUGAAAGCCCGGGGCUCAACCCCGGGACUGCAUUUGGAACUGUAUAGCUGGAGUGUCAGAGAGGCAGGCGGAAUUCCUAGUGUAGCGGUGAAAUGCGUAGAUAUCAGGAGGAACACCGGCGGCGAAGGCGGCCUGCUGGACUGAAACUGACGUUGAGGCUCGAAAGCGUGGGGAGCAAACAGGAUUAGAUACCCUUGUAGUC